UACGGAGGGUGCAACCGUUGCUCGGAAUCAUUGGGCGUAAAGCGCGCGUAGGUGGCUUCGUAAGUCCGUUGUGAAAGUCAAAGGCUCAACCUUUGAAUGCCGAUGGAUACUGCGGAGCUAGAGUACGGAAGAGGCGAGUGGAAUUCCUGGUGUAGCGGUGGAAUGCGCAGAUAUCAGGAGGAACACCAAUAGCGAAGGCAGCUCGCUGGGACGUUACUGACACUAAGGCGCGAAAGCGUGGGGAGCGAACAGG
rnacentral:rRNA from 1 species